UGCAGCAGGCGAGAAUACUUUACAAUGUGCGAAAGCACGAUAAGGGAACUCUGAGUGCCUCCUAAGGAGGCUGUUCAGGUGUCUAAAAGCACCUGAAGGAAGGGCUGGGUAAGACCGGUGCCAGCCGCCGCGGUAACACCGGCAGCCCAAGUGGUAGCCACGUUUAUUGGGUCUAAAGCGUCCGUAGCCGGCUGGGGUAAGUUCCUUGGGAAAUUUGGCUGCUUAACAGUCAAGCUUUCAGGGAAUACUGCCCGGCUUGGGACCGGGAGAGGUCAGAGGUACUCCAGGGGUAGGGUGAAAUCCAUUAAUCCUUGGGGGACCACCGGUAGCGAAGGCGUCUGACCAGACCGGGUCCGACGGUGAGGGACGAAGGCUAGGGGCGCGAACCGGAUUAGAUACCCGUGUAG
rnacentral:rRNA from 1 species